AUUGGCUAGCUAACAAUGUAUUGGGCCUUGCAUUUUCUAUUCAGGGGAUUGAAAUGCUUUCCCUUGGAUCAUUUAAGACUGGUGCCAUACUAUUGGCUGGACUUUUUGUGUAUGACAUCUUUUGGGUCUUUUUUACCCCAGUGAUGGUUAGUGUUGCUAAGUCUUUUGAUGCUCCUAUCAAGCUUUUGUUCCCCACAGCGGAUUUGAAACGUCCCUUUUCAAUGUUGGGUCUCGGAGAUAUUGUAAUUCCUGGCAUUUUUGUGGCUUUGGCACUCCGCUUUGAUGUCUCCAGAGGAAAGGGGCCUCAAUACUUUAUAAGUGCAUUUUCGGGAUACGCUGUUGGUGUGAUUUCAACCAUUAUUGUGAUGAACUGGUUUCAAGCUGCACAGCCCGCGUUGUUGUAUAUUGUUCCAGCUGUAAUUGGAUUUGUGGCUGUGCACUGCAUUUGGAAUGGGGAUAUGAAGCCGUUGUUGGAGUUCGAUGAGUCGAAAACACAGAGCACUGAAGAAGUCGCCGCGGAAGAGAGCAAGAAAGUAGAGUGAGGCUUUAAGAAGAGUUACAGUAGGGAUAUAUGACCUUCCAACUGAUGCAGAGAUUGUUGGUUAGGAAAAGAACUUUUUUUUGUUUUGUACUUUUAGAUUAUUGUUUAGUGAAAUAUUGAUGAGAUUGGCUUCAAUGUUAUUUACCCAAAAAAAUUUAACAUUUCAAUUGUCAAUCUUAAUAUUAUUGCCCCUAACUCCAUGAGAUUUGAAGUUGGUUAAUCUUUG
rnacentral:misc_RNA from 1 species